AGUGAAUAGAUACCCUGGUAGUCCUAGCCGUAAACGAUACUCGCUAGGUGUCGGCCACGGUGCGACCGUUGUCGGUGCCGUAGGGAAAGCCGUGAAGCGAGCCACCUGGGAAGUACGGCCGCAAGGCUGAAACUUAAAGGAAUUGGCGGGGGAGCACCACAACGGGUGGAGCUUGCGGUUUAAAUUGGAUUCAACGCCGGAAAUCUUACCGGGACCGACAGCAAUAUGAAGGCCAGGCUGAAGACUUUGCCGGAUUAGCUGAGAGGUGGUGCAUGGCCGUCGUCAGUUCGUACUGUGAAGCAUCCUGUUAAGUCAGGCAACGAGCGAGACCCACGCCCACAGUUGCCAGCGUACUCUCCGGAGUGACGGGUACACUGUGGGGACCGCCGCUGCUAGAGCGGAGGAAGGAAUGGGCAACGGUAGGUCAGUAUGCCCCGAAUAUCCCGGGCUACACGCGAGCUACAAUGGUUGGUACAAUGGGUAUCUACCCGAAGGG
rnacentral:rRNA from 1 species